AAUGAACGCUGGCGGCAUGCCUAACACAUGCAAGUCGAACGAGAGCAUCGGGCCUAGUGGCGCACGGGUGCGUAACGCGGGGGAACCUGCCCUUAGGUUCGGAAUAACUCGCCGAAAGGGGUGCGAAAACCGGAUAAUGUCCUCGGACCAAAGGUUUGUCGCCUUUGGAUGGGCCUGAGUUGGAUUAGCUAGUUGGUAGGGUAAAAGCCUACCAAGGCGACGAUGCAUAGCUGGUUUGAGAGGAUGAUCAGCCACACUGGGACUGGGACACGGUCCAGACUCCUACGGGAGGCGGCAGUGGGGAAUAUUGGAAAAUGGGCGAAGUGCUGAACCAGCAAUGCCUCGUGAGUGAUGAAGGUCUUAAGGUUGUGAAGCUCGUUUACCCGGGGUGAUAAUGACGGUACCGAGAGAAUAAGCUCCGGCUAACUCCGUG
rnacentral:rRNA from 1 species